rnacentral:misc_RNA from 1 species
GAUGAAGAACGUAGCGAAAUGCGAUAAGUAAUGUGAAUUGCAGAAUUCAGUGAAUCAUCGAAUCUUUGAACGCACCUUGCGCCCUUUGGCCAUUCCGAAGGGCAUGCCUGUCCGAGCGUCAUUUCUUCCCUCGAGCGCGGCUAGCCCUACGGGGCCUGCCGUCGCCCGGUGUUGGGGCUCUACGGGUGGGGCUCGUCCCCCCCGCAGUCCCCGAAAUGUAGUGGCGGUCCAGCCGCGGCGCCCCCUGCGUAGUAGAUCCUACAUCUCGCAUCGGGUCCCGGCGAAGGCCAGCCGUCGAACCUUUUAUUUUCAUGGUUUGACCUCGGAUCAGGUAGGGUUACCCGCUGAACUUAAGCAUAUCAAUAAGCGGAGGA